ACGGGUGAGUAACACGUGGGUGAUCUGCCUCGCACUUCGGGAUAAAGCCUGGGAAACUGGGUCUAAUACCGGAUAUGACCAGGGACUGCAUGGUUUUUGGUGGAAAGAUUUAUCGGUGCGAGAUGGGCCCGCGGCCUAUCAGCUUGUUGGUGGGGUAAUGGCCUACCAAGGCGACGACGGGUAGCCGGCCUGAGAGGGCGACCGGCCACACUGGGACUGAGACACGGCCCAGACUCCUACGGGAGGCAGCAGUGGGGAAUAUUGCACAAUGGGCGAAAGCCUGAUGCAGCGACGCCGCGUGAGGGAUGACGGCCUUCGGGUUGUAAACCUCUUUCGACAGGGACGAAGCGCAAGUGACGGUACCUGUAGAAGAAGCACCGGCCAACUACGUGCCAGCAGCCGCGGUAAUACGUAGGGUGCGAGCGUUGUCCGGAAUUACUGGGCGUAAAGAGCUUGUAGGCGGUUUGUCGCGUCGUCUGUGAAA
rnacentral:rRNA from 1 species